rnacentral:lncRNA from 1 species
CAGAAUGAAAUUCAGCUUCCAAGGAUUGUUUUUAUGUUCUUUUUGGAGUAGUUCUUUUGAUGUAGAGCUUCAUAUAGGUGAUCCUUUUUUAAGAGUAACUGAAGGUUUUCUUAUUUGUUUUCUGAAAUCAAUCAAUUAAACUUAAAAGUAAUAGAUUAGAUAACUUUUCACUCAACUGUUUUUUAUCAUCGAAAUCAAUCCUUUAGGGUCAACAACUUUGUAACAACACUCCUAUCACAAGAAAAAAGAACUAGCAGUUCUAGUAGGACCAAAAAUUUGAAAAAUUUGAAACUGGCUGAAAUUGAAUGGAACCAGCUGAAACCGACUGAAUCUCAGCGAAACCAAAAAAAUUUGAUCGUUUUAGAAUUGGUCUAGAUCAUAGUCUGCCGUACCGGUCCGGGCCGCCACCGGUACGCCGACCGGCACCGGUACGCCGACCGGCACCGGUACAGCGGAUCUUGGUCUAGAUCAUAACUGAUCUGCUUCAAUUGAAACUUAAAACCUUGGUAUAAGAGGAACAAGAGACUAUGAUAGAUGAGAAGAAAGUAGGAAAUGGGAGAUUUCCAGUGGAAUCCACAAGUAGAUUCAAAAAAGACAUUAGCUCAAACUAUCAAUUCUUUUGUUGCUUUCUUUUUCUAUUACAUGGUUUUAUAUAAAGUUAUAAACGCUAUAUGACUCUUAAUGUUCUUAUUUUAGUACAUCUCAACAUUCUAAAAAGCAAAAAUUACUACUUUUAUAAAAUCUAGGAGAACUAUGCAUGAAUCAUGUUAAUAAAUCCUAGUAAUUCUAAGUGCAUAUAUCCACAUUCAUGGACGCAUCUAAAGCUUAAUAACCAACAAUGGAAUGCCUAUUAAAUACUAUUUGGCUGCUACUUAAUUUAGACUAAGACAUAGGGCUACUCUAAAAUGACUAGGUACAUUGCUCCUAUGUCAGAAUGUCCAUUUAUGUGACAUUUUCUUAAAUGUGCCUUAGAAAUGUUCCAACAGCUUGUAGAUCCAUUAUCUUGCCCUGUAUAGUGAUUGAUUGAAUAUGUUAAUGUCAAUGAACAAGGAUCAUAAAGCCAAACCUUGGUGGAUUAGUCAUAACGUGACAACUCCACCAUCAUAUUAUAUAUAUGUCAAUGAUCAAGGAUCAUGAAGCCAAACUUGGUGGAUCAGUCAUAGUGUGACAACUCCACCAUCAUAUUAUAUGUAUCAGAAGAAGACAUUUUUUUAACAUAAUUUGGAGCCAAGAUCUAUGCAGCAGAAACAAGUUGGUGUAAAUAUAUCUUUUCUGGAUGAGGGUUUUAGGGCUUAUAUUUUCGUUGUUAAUGCAUGAUUGUAAUUCAAGAGCUGUUGUUUUUUAAUUUAUUCAGUUUAAAGCCUUUGUGUGGUGAACAAAUUUAAAAAGUUUUCCUUUAGUUAUAACUUGUGAGGACUGUGGAAGAAUAACUUGAUUUACAAGCAAUCAUUCCAAAAGUGAUUUCUAGCCCAUAGCUGUUGUUUUCUGAACUUUAGCUGAUUUGGUCAAUUAGAUGCAAUGAGGUUGGGCCAAAAGUUCAAGAUAAGUAUAGUAAAUUCCAAUGUCAUUUGUCCCUUCAACUUUGACAUGAGUUUAGUUGGUUUAUCAUAGUUUUAACAGGAUCAUGUUAGAUAAUUUUGAUCUUACCAACUGUAUAAAACUGGGAUUCCCGAGUUUUUCUCAGAAAUACCCCUACCUUUAGAAAACAACAGACCUAGGAAUCUUGUAUUGAUUGGGAUACUGUUACCAGUCCUACUUGGAUCAAAACUCUUUACGAACCUCACUUGUUAAAUGCGCAAGUCCAUCAGUGUGCCAUGAAGAGAUUUUGAAACUCUCGACAGAAUGAGUUACUCUUAAGCUCAAUUGACACUGCUGUACUUUUAGAUCUAUGUCCAAAAGCAUCCCAUUCCACGAACUCUGUCAUGCACUAUGCCCACUAAUCUCCUUAAGAAGACUCUACAUGAUCUGGUUCUAAUACGAAUCUCAAGAUCUUAUUGGCCAUUGGUUCCAAAUUUGAUGCCCGGUCAUCUUUUUCCAUCCCACUCUAUUCCAUGGAUGUUUCCCCAGUCCUGGAACUUCUCUCCCCCUGUCUCAGCAUCUUUCUCAACCGUCCCAUAAACACCACUUGUGGUCAUGCCCUUCAUAACGUAUUUCUGUGGUAGAUUGAUAUGAAGCGAGAAGUGAUGAUUGUUUUUUUUUAUUUUUAUUUUUAUAAUUAAUGUGGCUUCUAGUGAUGGAUGUCUUUUAAAGAUUGACGUAUACUUGAUGAUGAGUGACUAGAGCUAAGCUAGUAAUAGUACAAAACUAUCAUGCAUGGAUUUAAGUACUGGUCAUUCUGUCCAUUAUUGGAUGGAAAGGUAUCAGUACUGCUAUUCAACCCAGACCAAUAUUGUACCUGAGACAUUUUUAUUAUCCUCAUUUUUGUUGUGUUAUCCCAAGAGGCGUAUUGUGUGUUGGUAUAGUACAAUACCUUAUUGGUUCAUACCGUGCUACCAAUAUGAGUACCGUACUGGUACUUUAAACCUUUCCAUUAUGUUUUAAUAAACAAUAGAGUUAACAGUGCUUAGGAGAUUAGCAAGCCAUUAAAGAGCAAAGGAUUCUAUAUAAUAAUUCUAAAGUGACUUAUAUGUUGUAAAUAGAAUUAUUGAAUGUAUACCUAAUAUUUAUGAACUUCAUGUACCUAUUCUUUGAAUUGUUAUUGCCUAUUGGUCACUCUGAAUUUCUUUUAUGUAUUAUUAUUUUUCUAUUUUUUCUUAGUCAUUGUUAAGAAUGAACAGCUUUAUAAUCAAUUUUUUCCUCCAACAUGUGCACUUGUAUGUGCAUAUUUGCUAGUGGCCUUAAAUGUGGGAUGUAUCUGAAUCAAUGGAUAUUUGUUGUUCCAUAAAUGUGUUAGAUUUGUUUGCACUCAUUAUUUUUUGUUAUUUUGAGUAUUUAAGAGUAUAUUAUAUAAUGGAUGGUGACUUGGCUAGAUCAUCCAUAAUCUUUUCUUUUUCUUGAUAUUCGAAAUUAAAUUUUAGAUGUGGAUAAAUAAUCCUGAAAAUAUAUUGCAUCUUCAAGGCUUAUGUUUUCCUGGUUGGUCCUAAGUUUUCCCUUUUACCACUUUUGUACUUUUCCGAUGUUGGAGGCGAUCAAUCAUCAGAUUCAAAUGUUAACAUUUCCUCAGAAUUAUCUAAACCAUUCCGCUCUCUAUCUAGACAGUCAGCAGGUUGUGGCAUUUCAUGUUCUAAAGCUCUCUCACCUUUUGACAUGUCGAUAUUAUCUAGAACAUUUUUAACAUUACCUCAAAAUCUAUUAUCUAUCCUCAUGCAUGCAUAAAAAUGUUUAUAGCUCUUGACUAUUCUCAUUUGGAACUAUAUUGAGUACUUUUUGGCCUUUCUUUUUUUCUGAUUUUUUGAUCAUUUCAGAGC